GUGAGUGAGGAGAGAACUAACUCCAGCCAUGGGCACUGCGGGCUUCCUCUACCUGCCUGGGAUGGGCCACCUAGAGGCCACCUGGGACCAUCACUAGCCUGGCUCAGACCACCUGGACCAUCACUAGCCUGACUUAGUCCACCUGGGACAAUCACUAUCCUGGCUCAGAGCACCUGGGGCCAUCACUAGCCUGUCUCAGACCACCUGGACCAUCACUAGCCUGACUUCAUCCACCUGGGACAAUCACUAGCCUGGCUCAGACCACCCGGGGCCAUCACUAGCUUGGCUCACACUAUCUGGACCCUCACUAGCUUGGCUCAGUCCAUCUGGACCAAAACUAGCCUGGCUCAGACCACCUGGACCAUCACUAGCCUGGCUCAGACCACCUGGACCAUCACUAGCCUGGCUCAGUCCACCUGGGACCAUCACUAGCCUGGCACAGACCACCUGGACAAUCAGUAUCCUGGAACAGACAACCUGGGACAAUUCUAGCCUGGCUCAGGUCAUCUGGACCAUCACUAUCCUGGAGCAGACCACCUUGCCCAUCGCUAGUCUGUCUCAGACCACUUGGAAUUAAAACUAGCUUGGCUGACUGAAUUUUUUAACAAACCUAUUUUAUAAUAUCUUUGAUUUUACAGCCAGAUUUAUAAAUACCUUUAAAAUAACAAAAACAUUUUUGCUAACCUGUCUCCACAAUACCUGAGAUUAACACUAAUUUUGUUUAGAGUAUUUGGUUGUAUACUUGCCAGUUUUGGAAUACCUGAAUUUUACACUAUGCUGGUUUAAGGUUUGUCACUAGUCUGAUUUAAAUUAACUGGUAUCACCUCCAGCCUGGUUUAGAGUCUCUGGGAUUAUCACUGAUUUGGUUCAAAAUUUCUGGGAUUAUCACUGACCUGGUUUAGAACCACUGGGAUUAUCACCAAUCCGCUUUAGAUAUUCUGGGAUUAUAACUGACCAGUCUUGGAAUAUUUGAG